rnacentral:rRNA from 1 species
UACAUGGGGGUACAAACGUUGCUCGGAAUUAUUGGGCGUAAAGCGCACGUAGGCGGUUCGUUAAGUCGGAUGUGAAAGCCCUCGGCUCAACUGAGGAAGUGCACCCGAAACUGGCGAGCUUGAGUACGAAAGAGGAUCGCGGAAUUCCCGGUGUAGAGGUGAAAUUCGUAGAUAUCGGGAGGAACACCGGGUGGCGAAGGCGGCGAUCUGGGUCGAUACUGACGCUGAGGUGCGAAAGCGUGGGGGAGCAAACAGG